GCUAUCAACUGCUCUAGGGUAUUUGCAUAGGGCGAUCUGAUUGGAUGACGCCUGCGUUGGCGCUUGAAAAGUUGAGAAAUCUUCAACUUCUGCCGCUUGCAACGCGAGUGAAGCGACGCGACGGAACCCACAAUUCAGUUCGGCAACGCAUGACGUCACCCAUUCAAAGUAAAUGAGAAGCGUUAACGCCGGCGCCCCGUGUGAAUGCAGCGUCACUGAACAAAUGAUGGCGUCAAUGGAAAGACUAACUGAAAAUCAAGCAGCCCGACAACAGCGACUUUGACUCAACCAAUGGCGAAAGUGUGACAUUUGUUGUGACUGUUUGUUUCGACUAAUAACAGGCAAGAGGAGUGUUGCCUGACAUCACGUACAAAUAAAGGUGUGUGAGAGGAUGGAAGAAAGGACCAAAAUGGGAUCGGGGAACAAAACAGGUCGGACACAUUAGUAGGUGCUUUAACCGUUCGGCCACAACACAGGCAUUUGGAUGGUGUUCAUCAACAGUGCCUUCAUGUCUACUUUUGGGAAUAUCUUCUGUGCAGACGUUUGCAUAUGAUUGCACAAAUUCAUCUCAAACGGCCUCACUCAGACGCCUCUUAUAUAAUAAAACCUGUGUGCGUGUGUGUGUAAUGAGCGUAAACAGCAGUCGGUGAGCAGAACGCUGAAUUUAUGCAUGCUCAUAAAGCAAAACAACAAUCCACCAGCUCAUAACAGUUGAUUAUUCAGUCUGAUCCGAUCUGACAGUGUACAUAAACACUGUGGGCUGAACUCCACAGCUGAUUGGUUCGGAAUCCAGAAAAACAAAGAAACUGUAUGUGGGAAUGACUAAAUGUUCAGUUUUGUCGAAUUUGUAUUGUCCUUUAGUAAGAUAUAAGAACAUUAGGGCCUGUUGUGCAUUUUCCUUACAUCUGCUUGAUUGAAUUUAUUUGCAAUGCUGAACUUCAAAUGUCAGAUUCUGCACACACUCAUUUUCUGUGAGCGGCGAAACAUCCUCAGUAACAUUAAGACAUGUCUUGCCUAAUUAAACUGUAAUUAAAUUUGUACUCCAGGGGUUCUAUUUUAAACACAAUACAAUAACACUCAUCCUGCUCCAACACUGGAGGAACAAACUUGAUAAAGUGGUUCUUGUAUUAAAAAUGUCACAUUGUGAAAAUGUAAUAAUAUAGGUUUUAAUGCAAAUGAUUCAGUUGAUUGAAGGAAAAAAACCUUGAAUCUGACUUUGAAUGU